ACAGUUGAACAUCCUGCCGAUCUUAAUUGUAUACUGCUUGCAUUUAUUUAAAUUUAUUCAAGAUUCAAAGUAAACUGUCAUUUAGGGGCGAAGCCCCUAAUCGAAUGGAGGUUCGGGGACAACGCCCCUGGCUGGGAUUUUUGGAACAAACCCGACUUUUGACUUCGGUUCGACCCUUAUAGAAGGAACCUGGAUUAGUGACAGUUUUCAGACAUCAAACUGUUUUUUGUGACAGUUUUCAAACAUACAACUGUCUUGAGACAGUUUUCUGAUGGAAAAGGUUUUAACUAAUUUUGAUCUUCAUUUGAUGGUACACUCGGAAUUCAUAACAACUAGAUUUUUUGUUCUUGCUCUCAAUUUCUGAGUCUUAUCCGAUUAAAGAUUAGUUUUACCACCCAAAUACUUUAAUCUAUACCCUAAAUUUCUAACAUUAUGUUUUAUACAGAGAAAUUAAAAUUGAAGAUUGCUUUUGAGUACAAAUAUCUACAACAUAGCAAUUUCUACAGGAUUCCUGGGGUUAAUGACGAUGAACAGUUAUGUAUUGUAAUGGUACUAUAUCCAUAAAUUUGAAUAAUUAACAUUUUUACACUUUUCUUUUAUUAAAAAAAUAUCAUUCAUUUUCACAAUUGAUUUGUUGUAUGUUGGCAACGCUUGCAAACAGGUUUGUGGCUGUGAAAUGCUUGCAACAGUUUUAUGGCUGGGAAAUCUAAAUCUUUUACUUCUUGAUGAUAAAAGAUGUGGAACCUGGAGUAAUGAAGGUAAUACAUAUAUUUGGGCAUUAUACUUGAAAUCUUUCAUCCAUUAAGGCAUUUUAGUUUAAUUUAUUAACAUGAUGCCAAUGAAAGUUGAGAUGGCAAGUUAUAGUUGCAUUUACCUCAGUAAUUAGCAGUGAAUAGUUCUUAAUGGGGUAAUUUGGAGGUAACACAUAAGUUUUUUAUUUAACCGACAAAAACUUUUAUGUGCUUACCCUUUUUAGUUCGCACAUGUCAAACAGUUUGUAGGUUAAUCUUUUUGUGGAAUUGAUAUUGGCUUGUAGAUUAUGCUUUUUGGUACUUGUGAUAUGAUCUAAUUAUUGUUGUUACUAAUUUGUUUUGUUUGCAGUUUCUGGUUAUAAAAGGCUUGCUUUAAACACCUUCAAUAACACUUGCUUAGAUUUAAAGAUAAUCUAUUUGAUGUGAUGCAACAUGAGAGUUUGGGGCAAUUGAACCAGUCCAUGUUGGAAGAUCAGGAAGAGUUUUGGUGGCACCUAAGUGGCUACACGAUUAAGUGAUAAGCAUGUAGUAGAUUAAGAUAACUAUUAUUUGAAUUUCUAGAUAAUGUUUGUUUGCAAUUUGAAUUAUUAGCUAGUUGUUAGAG
rnacentral:lncRNA from 1 species